rnacentral:lncRNA from 1 species
AUCAAAUCAAAACCCUCGGCUAUUGGUGAACCACAGGUUCUCCUUGAUCGUGUAAGUCCUUCCAUCACCCACUCCAGCACAGCACUUCUGAAAUGCAGAAAUCUGUCACUUCUGAGAUAAAGCCACUAAUCCACCUCUCUCCUUGACACAUUCUCUGUUCAGUGGGCAGAUUUCUUAUAUGGAUAUUUUCUGUCACUUUUGCCAGUACUACCUCUGUGUCAUAAGCUGAUGGCUUUAACCAGUGAUUUUCUGUUUUUCAGAUUCGACGCAGAAAUCCAAACACCUCUCUGUGAAGUGUUUCCAGAGUUUAUCCCCUGCUGAAAGUCUCCUCAAGCAGAAAGAUCUUGUCAGCAGAAGAUGUGGCACAUGUAAACUGGUGGCAUGAGGUUGUGUCUGUCUGCAGCUUCCCUUUCCAUUUGCGAGUCAGAGAUGUACUGAAAGACCUAUUUCUGAAUUUUGAGAGUCAACAUAGCAACACUCAAGGAUGCUACUUCCAUGGUUUCACUGUUUGGAUAGUUAAAGAUGAUCACAGGGCUGCCCAUAUGUGCAGGUUACACAGAACUGCUGGAAGAAAAAUCUGUAGCACAUCCGUGGCACAGACAGGCAAAAUGUUGUGUCAGAAGACUGAAAAAUAGACUGAUUAUUCUGGGAAAGUAGUAACUUAUCCCAGUGACUCUGGUCCCAAAGGCUCUGGCAUUUGUGAUGCUAAUGCACCAUGGUAAGCAAGCUGUUGGAUCUGAUCUCUCACUUUCUUACCUGUAAGGUCAUCAGUCUCUAAGCAGGUCUCAAAUAUUCAAGUGUGCUGUUCAGCUGUGAACUCCGGUCUUGUGCAUGCGUUAAUUAUUCAGCAGUGAUAAGAAGAGGAGAAAAACAACUUGAGAAAUUGAUGUUUGUAUCAUAGGUCAUCUCUUCAAUUGUAUUAAUUAUAUUUAUUCUUUCAGAUCCCUAAAUGACUUGGUCAGAUUGCUCAAAAGGACAAAAAUUUGGAAUAAAGAGUUCUGCUAGUAGUUUUUUUAAUAAUAA